UGGGGAAUAUUGCGCAAUGGGCGAAAGCCUGACGCAGCGACGCCGCGUGAGGGAUGACGGCCUUCGGGUUGUAAACCUCUUUCAGCAGGGACGAAGCGAAAGUGACGGUACCUGCAGAAGAAGCACCGGCCAACUACGUGCCAGCAGCCGCGGUAACACGUAGGGUGCAAGCGUUGUCCGGAAUUAUUGGGCGUAAAGAGCUCGUAGGCGGCCUGUCACGUCGACUGUGAAAACCCAGGGCUCAACCCUGGGCCUGCAGUCGAUACGGGCAGGCUUGAGUGUGGUAGGGGAGACUGGAAUACCUGGUGUAGCGGUGAAAUGCGCAGAUAUCAGGAGGAACACCGGUGGCGAAGGCGGGUCUCUGGGCCAUUACUGACGCUGAGGAGCGAAAGCGUGGGGAGCGAACAGGAUUAGAUACCCCCGUAGUCC
rnacentral:rRNA from 1 species